rnacentral:rRNA from 1 species
ACGCUGGCGGCAGGCCUAACACAUGCAAGUCGAGCGGUAGAGAGAAGCUUGCUUCUCUUGAGAGCGGCGGACGGGUGAGUAAUGCCUAGGAAUCUGCCUGGUAGUGGGGGAUAACGUUCGGAAACGGACGCUAAUACCGCAUACGUCCUACGGGAGAAAGCAGGGGACCUUCGGGCCUUGCGCUAUCAGAUGAGCCCAGGUCGGAUUAGCUAGUUGGUGAGGUAAUGGCUCACCAAGGCGACGAUCCGUAACUGGUCUGAGAGGAUGAUCAGUCACACUGGAACUGAGACACGGUCCAGACUCCUACGGGAGGCAGCAGUGGGGAAUAUUGGACAAUGGGCGAAAGCCUGAUCCAGCCAUGCCGCGUGUGUGAAGAAGGUCUUCGGAUUGUAAAGCACUUUAAGUUGGGAGGAAGGGCAGUUACCUAAUACGUGAUUGUUUUGACGUUACCGACAGGAUAAGCACCGGCUAACUCUGUGCCAGCAGCCGCGGUAAUACAGAGGGUGCAAGCGUUAAUCGGAAUUACUGGGCGUAAAGCGCGCGUAGGUGGUUAGUUAAGUUGGAUGUGAAAUCCCCGGGCUCAACCUGGGAACUGCAUUCAAAACUGACUGACUAGAGUAUGGUAGAGGGUGGUGGAAUUUCCUGUGUAGCGGUGAAAUGCGUAGAUAUAGGAAGGAACACCAGUGGCGAAGGCGACCACCUGGACUGAUACUGACACUGAGGUGCGAAAGCGUGGGGAGCAAAC